rnacentral:rRNA from 1 species
UACGUAGGGUGCGAGCGUUGUCCGGAAUUAUUGGGCGUAAAGAGCUCGUAGGCGGUCUGUCGCGUCGAUCGUGAAAACUUGGGGCUUAACCCUGAGCUUGCGGUCGAUACGGGCAUGACUGGAGUUCGGCAGGGGAGACUGGAAUUCCUGGUGUAGCGGUGAAAUGCGCAGAUAUCAGGAGGAACACCGGUGGCGAAGGCGGGUCUCUGGGCCGAUACUGACGCUGAGGCGCGAAAGCCAGGGGAGCAAACGGG